rnacentral:rRNA from 1 species
AACGCUAGCUACAGGCUUAACACAUGCAAGUCGAGGGGCAUCAGGGUAGCAAUACCGCUGGCGACCGGCGCACGGGUGAGUAACACGUAUCCAACCUACCGUUAACUCGGGGAUAGCCUUUCGAAAGAAAGAUUAAUACCCGAUAGUAUAUUUUCUUCGCAUGUUGAAAAUAUUAAAGAAUUUCGGUUAUCGAUGGGGAUGCGUUCCAUUAGGCAGUUGGCGGGGUAACGGCCCACCAAACCUACGAUGGAUAGGGGUUCUGAGAGGAAGGUCCCCCACAUUGGAACUGAGACACGGUCCAAACUCCUACGGGAGGCAGCAGUGAGGAAUAUUGGUCAAUGGACGAAGGUCUGAACCAGCCAAGUAGCGUGAAGGAUGACUGCCCUAUGGGUUGUAAACUUCUUUUAUAUGGGAAUAAAGUUCUCCACGUGUGGAGUUUUGUAUGUACCAUUAUGAAUAAGCAUCGGCUAACUCCGUGCCAGCAGCCGCGGUAAUACGGAGGAUGCGAGCGUUAUCCGGAUUUAUUGGGUUUAAAGGGAGCGUAGGUGGACUGGUAAGUCAGUUGCGAAAGUUUGCGGCUCAACCGUAAAAUUGCAGUCGAUACUGUCAGUCUUGAGUACAGUAGAGGUGGGCGGAAUUCGUGGUGUAGCGGUGAAAUGCUUAGAUAUCACGAAGAACUCCGAUUG